rnacentral:rRNA from 1 species
GGGGAAUAUUGGACAAUGGACGAAAGUCUGAUCCAGCGACGCCGCGUGGAGGAAGAAGUCCUUCUGGAUGUAAACUCAUGAAGCUAACGAAAAAGACGGAAGGGGAACCUUCCGGGAGAAGGUAAUUAGUGUAGAGCCCCGGCUAACUACUGGCCAGCAGCCGCGGUAAUACGUAGGGGGCGAGCGUUGCCCGGAAUUACUGGGCGUAAAGGGAACGUAGGUGGCUCUUAAAGUCAGGUGUGAAAAUAACGAAGCUUAACAGGUUAAUGCGCUUGUAACUAAAGGGCUUGAGGGCAAUAGAGGGAGAUGGAAUUACCUGUGUAGGGGUGAAAUCCGCAGAUAUAGGUAAGCAGGCCGGUGGGGAAGCCGAACUCCUGGGUUGACCCUGACGCUGAGGUGCGAAAGCGUGGGGAGCAAACA